rnacentral:rRNA from 1 species
UACGAGGGGUGCAAGCGUUGCUCGGAAUUAUUGGGCGUAAAGGGUAGGUAGGUGGUCUCAUUUGUCUGGGGUGAAAGCCUUGAGCUUAACUCAAGAAGUGCCCCAGAAACGGUGAGACUGGAGUCCUGGAGAGGGUCGUGGAAUUCCCGGUGUAGCGGUGAAAUGCGUAGAGAUCGGGAGGAACACCAGCGGCGAAGGCGGCGUCCUGGACCAACACUGACACUGAUGAGCGAAAGCCAGGGGAGCAAACGGG